rnacentral:rRNA from 1 species
GACGAACGCUGGCGGCGUGCUUAACACAUGCAAGUCGAACGGUAAGGCCCUUCGGGGUACACGAGUGGCGAACGGGUGAGGAACACGUGGGUGAUCUGCCCUGCACUUCGGGAUAAGCCUGGGAAACUGGGUCUAAUACCGGAUAGGACUCCUGGCUUCAUGGUUGGGGGUGGAAAGCUUUUGCGGUGUGGGAUAGGCCCGCGGCCUAUCAGCUUGUUGGUGGGGUAUUGGCCUACCAAGGCGACGACGGGUAGCCGGCCUGAGAGGGUGACCGUUAACACUGGGAGUGAGGUACGGCCCAGACUCCUACGGGAGGCAACAGUGGGGAAUAUUGCACAAUGGGCGCAAGCCUGAUGCAGCGACGCCGCGUGAGGGAUGACGGCCUUCGUGUUGUAAACCUCUUUCAGCUAUGACGACGCGCAAGUGACGGUAUGUGCAGAAGAAGGACCGGCAAACUACGUGCCAGCCGCCGCGGUAA